rnacentral:rRNA from 1 species
UACGGGGGGAGCAAGCGUUGUUCGGAUUUACUGGGCGUAAAGGGCGCGUAGGCGGUCACUACAAGUCAGUUGUGAAAUCUCUGGGCUUAACUCAGAACGGUCAGCUGAUACUGUCGGACUAGAAUGCAGAAGGGGCAACUGGAAUUCUCGGUGUAGCGGUGAAAUGCGUAGAUAUCAAGAGGAACACCUGAGGUGAAGACGGGUUGCUGGGCUGACACUGACGCUGAGGCGCGAAAGCCAGGGGAGCAAACGGG